rnacentral:rRNA from 16 species
CGACCUGCACGAAUGGCGUAACGAGUGGAGCGCUGUCUCGGCCACAGACUCGGUGAAAUUGCAUUACCGGUAAAGAUGCCGGUCACCCGCGGUAGGACGGAAAGACCCCGUGAAGCUUUACUGUAGCUUGAUAUUGGACUUUGGCAAGGCUUGUGUAGGAUAGCUGGGAGGCUAUGAAGUGGGAGCGCCAGCUUCUGUGGAGCCAACCUUGAAAUACCAGCCUGGUUUUGUUGAGGUUCUAACUCGCACCCAUUAUCUGGGUGGAGGACAGUGUCAGGUGGGCAGUUUGACUGGGGCGGUCACC